rnacentral:lncRNA from 1 species
GAAAGGCCCAGGGCCUGGCCAGGAGGCCGGCCGCCCCACCAGUUGGGAGGCCCCUCUCUUCCCCCCCCCCCCCCCCCCGCGCCCCGUGUCUUCUUUCUCUGUUCUUUUGACCCCAGCCUUGUGUCCCUGUCCGCAGGGAGUGCUGUUCCUGCCCCUCCGUCCCCACAGCCCCGACCCCCCAGGAGAUAAGCUAUCAUUGUUGUAUUUGCAAUCUCUUAGAGGUUUGAGUAUUUAUUACUAUGGGUUAAUUAUUAUGAUUAUUGCGUCUGUGGACCCGCCUCCUGUACGUCUGUCCCUGUUGGGUUUCCCAGGUGACCCUGGGUGUGGAGGAUGCACUGGCUCUCACCUCCUCGCCCCCCCAAGCCCCAAGCGCCCCUCCCCGGGAGCCCCUAUCCCGUCCACCCUGCGAGCACAGCCGGGCGCCCUGGGCCGGGACUGGGCGGGGUGGGUGCGCGGCGCAAUUCCUGCCCCGGCCCCCACGCGCCCGCGCAGAGCCCCGGGUCCCGAGGCUCCGAGAGCGGAGGGCCGGAGCUCGUGGGCGGGGCGUCUCCGGUUCUGGCCCCAGGUGGGCGAACACCUGCCCCGCGGGGCGGCCGGAACCCGCCCCUUCAGAGAUGGCCUGAGGGGCCCGGGGCCUGCGGGUCUGCUCCCGGCCUCGGGGCUUCCACCCCGGCUCGCCGGCCGCCCCCACUCCGCACUUCGAGGCCGGGAGAGAGGCGAGCGGCUCCGCCGCGCCACCUGCUGCCCGUCCCUGCGAAGGCUGCAGCGCACCCAGCCGGCCCCUUCCCUCCUGUCCAUGCCUGGGUCUCUGGCCCUUCCGCCCUCACCCACCUCCUCCUGAGGCCCUCCCCUUGGCGCGUUUCCGGCCGCAGUGUGCCUGCACCUGCUGGGGCCGCCCCACCCCUUGCUCCAGCCCGGUCUGCAGCUGGAUUUCUGGCGAUGCCCCACAGGGUGCAUCUGACUUCAUCUGGUACCUCACCCCCCACCCCGACCCCACGCCCUCCCACGGCCCGCUCCUUCACCCCUCCCGGCCUCAGGUAGGCAGUAAACCCGGCCUGCCUUUUGUUUCUUUAGAAAGGUGCGGGGUGGGGGGCUCCUGUCUGCUGGUUCCCUCCCCAAAUGCCCUCAACAGCCGGGGCUGGGGGCCCAAGCCAGCCGCUGGGAACUCAGCCCAGGUCUUCCCAAGUACUUGAUCGUCACCCGCCGCCUCUCAGGAAGCUGGAAUAGGAGGCGGAGUGGGACCCAAACCCAGGCUCUCCGCUGGGGGCCUCGCAGCCCCAGUGCAGACGCCUGGCCCUGAGUGUUCACCGUGACUGGGGCCCUGCCCACCCCCACCUCACCUGGACGACUUUCACCAGCCCAUGCAGACCCCACUGCCUCUGCGCCGGCUUCCCCCAGCCUCAGGUGCAGGCCUCCCUCAGAAUCCUCUCCCCGGUGCGGAGGGGACACCAGCCACAUGUGGCACUGGUUACUGUGGCACCGACCCUAUUUCCAGGGGAAGCCCCACUCUGGGAGGAAUUCGGGGGCUCAGUGCAACCCCCCAGUGUCAGAGGAGGGAGGUUGCUGGCUCACGCCACACUCUGGGCCCCCAGCCUGGGAGCCUGGCUGCACCCCUGCAGCUUUGCAGAGCUGCCCCCCCAGCUAGCCCCUGGGGUCCCUGAAGGCCACAGCAGGCACAAGGUCGACUCGCCCAGCCUGGCUGCACCUGGGAGCAUCUUCACGCACGGGUUCCAGGGCCCUGCUCCGGGCCAGCUCUGAGGACCGGGGCCCAGGACUCUGCAUCCCAAGGCUUCUCCAGGGAGUCUGCUUCCCCUGUUCCUGGGGAGACCCCCCACUCGCCACCCAGUGUGCAGCGAGGCCUCUGGGGCCAGCUCCCCCCACUGCCACCUGCAGGGGACCACGGCCCCAGGAGCAGGCCUUGUCCCAGCCGGCCCGAAACAGGCCUGGUGGCCUGGUGCUCCCUGCUCUGUGGGCCGGGGUCCGAAGCUGUGGCACAAAGCUGGUAGGUCCCUGGGCAGGGGAGGGGAAGGUGGGGGGGUGG